AGCGAACGCUGGCGGCGUGCCUAACACAUGCAAGUCGAGCGAAGGCAUGAGUGUAGCAAUACACUUAUGUACUUAGCGGCGGACGGGUGAGUAACACGUGGAUAAUCUGCCCUGAGGACCGGGACAACUCUUGGAAACGGGAGCUAAUACCGGAUGUGACCACGAUGCUUGAGGGCAUUGGGGUAAAAGGCGGCCUGCAAGGGCUGUUGCUUCGGGAUGAGUUCACGACCCAUCAGGUAGUUGGGGG
rnacentral:rRNA from 1 species